CAUCAUCUACUGCCUGGAUUUUUGCCUACAACUGCUCCUGCUGCGUUCGCUUAAUCAACGCAAACAUGAAUAGAAAGACUGUGCCUGUCUCUUUAUCAACGUUAAGACAAAGGACACGUGUAGACGUUCAAAAAAGGCUUCAUCAUUGUGGAGCCUCAGCGUCUCCCCAAAGCCCUGUGGCGCCCCCAACGGGAGAAUCCCAACUGCUGUUAACUCAUUUGGUACUUCUGGUCUUUAUUCUGAAAUAAAGUAUUGCAACAUA